rnacentral:rRNA from 1 species
CAAACCGGAAAUAAGAUAACCCCUGGUAGUCCACGCCCGUAAAACGAUGUCUACUUGGAGGGUUGUGGCCCCUGAGCCCGUGGCUUUUCGGAGCUAAACGCGUUUAAGUAGACCCGCCCUGGGGGAGGUACGGUUCGCCAAGAAUUAAAAACUCAAAAUGAAUUUGACCGGGGGGCCCGCACAAAGCGGUGGAGCAUGUGGGUUUAAUUUCGAUGCAACGCGAAGAACCUUACCUACUCUUGACAUCCAGAGAAGCCAGCGGAGACGCAGGUGUGCCUUCGGGAGCUCUGAGACAGGUGCUGCAUGGCUGUCGUCAGCUCGUGUUGUGAAAUGUUGGGUUAAGUCCCGCAACGAGCGCAACCCUUAUCCUUGUUUGCCAGCGAGUAAUGUCGGGAACUCCAGGGAGACUGCCGGUGAUAAACCGGAGGAAGGUGGGGACGACGUCAAGUCAUCAUGGCCCUUACGAGUAGGGCUACACACGUGCUACAAUGGCGCAUACAGAGGGCAGCAAGCUAGCGAUAGUGAGCGAAUCCCAAAAAGUGCGUCGUAGUCCGGAUUGGAGUCUGCAACUCGACUCCAUGAAGUCGGAAUCGCUAGUAAUCGUGAAUCAGAAUGUCACGGUGAAUACGUUCCCGGGCCUUGUACACACCGCCCGUCACACCAUGGGAGUGGGCUGCAAAAGAAGUGGGUAGUUUAAACUUCUCGGGGAGGACGCUCUAACACUCUUGUGUUCACUGAACUGGG